GAGGUGGUUUCUUGGCAAAGAAUUCAUCAAGGUAUCUUUUUAUGUCAUCCAAGGGAUUGAAAUUUUUACCAUUAAGAUUAUUCUGCAGAGACCUGAAUAAGUGGAAAUAUUCUUUUCUACUCUAGGCACAAGGCCCGAAAUUUUGGGGGAGGGUCCAGUCGAUUGGAUCGACCUCAGUACGCAACUGGUACUUGAUUUAUCGUCCCGGAAAGGAUAAAAGGCAAAGUUGACCUCGGCGGCUCAUCAUCAAAUAUUGACCGAGGACGGAACUACAUCGCUCUCAGGAGGAAUUAACUGGGUAGGCUCCAUUUUUCAGCAACAUAAUCCGCGGUAGUUUUCUUUGCUCAGCUAUCUCCCAUGUUGCGAAUAUGCACCAACUUUCUAACCUGUAUCUUACAAUAACACGAUUCUCCUCAUCUACAUUAUCAACUUAUUUUCUCUCAAUAUAUCGCUUUUGUUAUUCUGGUAAGAUAUCCACUUUGUUCAAUAUUCUCACUCCAAUCCGUGUAUUCUACAGCAAAAAAACUCUUUCGUUUCCCAGAUUGGCUUCUACCGCCACCACAACAGUUUUCCACAUGUUCUCGUCAAUAUGAGACCCAAAAAAUAUGAAAUCCACCAAGUCCCACUGCUCUUUCGGCAAUAAGCUUUUACUACUUUAAUUUCGUCCACCGGAAACAUUAGACAGUUGCACUUUUGCAGUAGCACUAUAAUAGUUAAAUUCCUGUAAAGCAUUGCGAGGAAUCGAAUCCUAUUCAUAUGAACUUACUAACACAAUUGCCCAUACUUUCCACUCUUGUUAAUUUCAAGCAUUUGAUGUAACCACAAGAACCUUGACAAACGGCCAUGUUUAUUAACACUAUUUUAAACGUUCCGGCCAAAUCGAAAUUGGAAUUGGCAGUUAAUUAAUCUUUGCUGUAACUUGACCUCAAUGCUGAUACCCAUCUUUACAUUAUUUUAAGGGUACUGUGUAGAUACGACCAAAUCUCUAGGCCACCUACUCCUUGGUCAUUAGAUUCAGUUCCUUUUCAGUCUCAAAAUGAAAUAAUUAUUUAAAUUAAAUCACAUCGUGGAUUGGUGGCUACUUGGUGGUUGAUACGUAGGUUACAUUGUUGGAAUUACUAAAUCAAUCGCAAUAUGAGAGGUUUGUUUUUUUCACUAUUGUCACAAUGGUUGUAAUGUCGUCCAUAAAAACUAGCUCCGGUAACAGUUCUAAGAGUUUUCCGAUCUUCAUUUCCUCCGAGUAGCGUCUUUCCCCACUCAAUGCCAACCCUAUAAGCAUCAUGAAGAGAAGUAGAGGAAUGGUAACCCCAUCACGAUGGCUAUCGCUAGUAUCUGUCAGUUAGCCGAGAACUGUUUUAUGGUAGGCUUCAAAACUAUUGAUCCAAAGUACCACAGCAGAAUUUUCCUUAAACAUUCUGGAAUGCAAAAUCAAAAUGCAAAGGUUUGCUUAUACACGGAUGAAGAACUAAUCUAUAUACAUUUUCCAAGUCAGACAACCUAAAGGGCUUUUUUCUUUCUUAGUGUGGGACCUUGAUAUCCUUUUUGCCAGAACUCCAUAGAACAUUUUUUAUUAUCUAUACUGAGAAGAGCUAUCAGACGGAAUUAACCAACUGAUGGCUCCUCCUUAUUUAUAGGUACCCCCUGUAGACCCUCUACCAAUCAUCAGUCUUGUAUUGCGGUUCCUUUCUCCGCUCGCUGGGACAGACUCACCAGCACUCUGGAAGCAUCAUGGCAGAGUUUGUAAAGACAAAGCCCAAAGUACCCCAAGCAACAAUUUUGUCUUAUGAGGUACUAUUUUUGCUACUUGGGACAUUUUCGGAAUUUUCUCUCUUCCCAAACGUUAUGACUUCUUUGACUGUGGGGGGCAAAUGGUCAGACAUAAUUUUAGGUUUAGUUUAAAAUAACCAAUUAGUAAUUUGGGUGUCGAAAGACUCAUUAAUCAGGGUUUGACUAGAGUCUGAGACACUGCAUAAAAGGCUCUCAAGUUUUUUGGGUGUCCUUAAUAUACGCAAACUUUUUUAGUCAAGUAAACUUUUCUAGCCCUACAAUUACUGAAGGCGGUGGUCUAUAGAACCACAGUCCUAUAAAUGAAACCAAUGGAGAUGGAAAACCUGUAAGAUCACAGGUAUUGACCCCGUAUAAUCAAAGUCAUAUGAGUGAAACCAUUGAAAGUGAUUGUUCUGUAUAGCCACAAUCAUAAGACCGAAACCAGUGAAGGUCGUGACACUGCAUAAUCACUGAUAUGUGACAGAAACAAGUGAAGGCAGAGACCCUGUAUAACCACAGUCUUAUAAUUUAAACUACUUAAGGUAGUGACCUUGAAUUGUCACUAGCACAUGACUAAAAGUACUGAAGGUGGUGACAAUUUAUAGCUAUAGUCCCAUGACUAAAAUCAGUGAAGGCAGGAACCCUGUAUAACUACAGUCCUUUAACUGAAACCAUUGAAGGUGCUAACUCUGUAUAGCUAUAAACCUUUUACUGAAACAUCUGAAGACAGGCACUCUGUAUUGCCAGUGAAUGCAUUGACCCUGAAUAGCUGCGACUCUAUGAGUGAGGCCAGUGAAGGAGGUGACCUUGUAUUACCGCAGCCCUAAACAGUUUAAGCUGGUGAACCUGUAUAGACACCGUCCUAUGACUGAAACCAAUAAAUGAAUAGAAUAAUAUAAGAAUAUAUUUUUCUUUAUCUCGUCUCUUUCUGAAUAAUAGCAUCGUUGAUUAUGUUUCCAAUGCAUCAAACAAUGUUUCACCGCGCCUCUGAUAACGCCUUUGACUUGAUACUAUGUUGUGGCAGUCUACUGCAGAUUGUUCCAAAUUCUAGUAAGCGUGUACAGAAAGCGCCUAUCCAGAACGUGAAUUUUCCAUCGAAUGUUGAGAUUUUGUACGCAGAUAUGAAUGGUCUUGUCCUUAUAAACGGCGAGAUUCGUACUCCGGCAGUUGCCUUACUCUGGGUAUUUUGACGAUUUGUGAAUUGUAUGCAUUUGUUAAGAUUGUUACAGCAUAAAGCUUUAUGUUUAAGUUUUAGGUUUUUUGCUUUGAUCUUUCUUUUUUCUGUAGCCUCAGCUCCAUCAGCUACAAGAUCACCUAUUUUCUUAUGAAUUGCAGUAGGGAGGCCUUUCACUGCGCAAAUAAUCCUUGGAGUAAAUCAUCCUUCUUAGACGGCCUGUGUAAAAACAGAUUGACUGUAAACGACAUUAUUGGAUCAAAAGGCGCAAACAUUACUGCGAUCUUUCACACCGAUAACCACAAGCACCAAAUAAGCCCUUCACAGCCCGAUAAGAACAAUCUAUUCUUAUAUUACACUGAGAACAUUGCGUUUGCUGAUGUGCGUAAAGCUUUCAAAUGGUAGAAUUAAAUAAAGCCUCACGAAGCAGUGUUAUAUAAAAGUUAUGCGUGUAAACUCGUUUUUCACAGGUUCGAGCACACUCGAACGUGGGAAGACCUUUUACUGAGGAAAUAAUCCCGUAAGAAAAUUUUCCUCGUAGACAUGUAUGAAAAUAUAUUGGACUAUGAAUGACAUCAUUAGAUCGAAGAAUACAUGUGUUUCAGCGCCUUUAUUUAUAGGCACCAUCCUCACCUUAUAUCGAAAAUUUAGAUUUCAUUUGUUUUUAAUACACCUUAUUUUCAUUUUCCUUUCUUUCCGUUGCAUUCGCUCUUUCUCUUUGCAUUCAUGUAUUUAUACGUCUUGUGUAUCUCUUUUUUAACUUUUUACUUGUUUCAGUCAUUAAACUGCGGCCAUGCUGGGGCACUGCCUUGAAGAGUUUUCGGUCGAAUGAAACGAGCCCAGUACUUUUUUCUGAGCCUGAUACUUAUUUUGUUGGUAUCUUUUGGCAAACGGAUAAGUUACAGGGACGUAAUGUUGCAUUACUGUAGGUGAGUGACUGGGGUCUGCGGAAUGAGACACAAUACGAAAAGAUAGAUAGAUAGAUAGAUAGAUAGAUAGAUAGAUAGAUAGAUAGAUAGAUAGAUAGAGAGAGAGAGAGAGAGAGAGAGAAAGAAAGAAAGAAAGAAAGAAAGAAAGAAAGAAAGAAAGAAAGAAAGAAAGAAAGAAAGAAAGAAAGAAAGAAAGAAAGAAAGAAAGAAAGAGAAAGAUGGUUGAGUCAAGAAGAAAAAUGUAGAUAAAUAGUUUGGGGGAACGGAGGACUGAAUAUGCAUAAUGAAAUGAAGAUACAGGAAUAAGAAACUGUGUGUCUUCAAUUCACUGGUUGAAGCUUAUUAAUCGUUGCCAAUCAGCUGUGCAGCAUCUGCUCUAGUUCCCACUUAUUUUCACUAUGAUCAAGGCGGUGUCUCCAUUUCCGGUCCUAAUAUUACACUCUUCAACUUCCUUUUUACACCAAGCUUGCCAUGUAAACAGGCAUCGAAAAUCUAUAUGGCUCUGUUCUUUUUCUUCAACAACGCUUAUUCUUUUUAUUUCUCUUUGAUGAAGUAUAUAACCCAAAACGUUAGAUCAUUUCCUGUCCUUUUCAUUCGGCGUAAUUGAUUUCAUUAUACACAUUUAUUUUCAUUGUAUACAUUCUUUGAGUCUUAUACUUUCGUUUCAUAUUCGGUCGCUUUUUCAAAGCACAUAUUUUAUUAAUCUAACUUCAUAUUUUAUUUACUUGUUUGUCUCUUCCUUAUCUCAUAAUUUCCCUUGUUCACUCUACCAUCCUGUGCAAUUUGAACGACCUAUGUCAAUUAAUGCCCAUUUUUUGCGUUAUGUAUGGUACAACCGUCGCGUAUGGAUGAAUGAACACACCACUUUAUGUUCUCUUUAAAAUAUGAGUAUGUGUAUUAAAGUGGACACUAGCACACAAUAUUUAGUGAACCAAGAAAUUUUAAUUAAUUACAUAAUAUCUAAUUAAUCAUAAUUACACAAUGAAGAAAACACACCAUUACGUAAAUGAUAAAUUUGUGGUAAACAAGAAAAAAUAGAACACUGAACUUUUAAUUAAAACUAAAUUAAUUUUUCAGCGUACUGCCUCAAGUAUGCUAACGCCCAUUUUACUAUUAAAUUUUCAUACGGCAGGGAUCUCUGGUUGUCCCGCCCAUCCAGUAGCUCACUGCAUUGUAUUCUGUAUUAGUGUAGUCUUUGCGUAUGCAAUUAGGCUGUAAUUGUAUUUCCUUUUAUGUACGUCUGGAUGAACAAACAACCUUUAUUAGAUUAAGCCUAUUAUCUAAGACACCUCCAGAUUAACGAGAGGACAGAAGUAAGGAAUAAAAACAAUGAUAAUUAAUUUAAUAGACGCAACCAUACAAUCUCAUACAAACUGACUCAAACACUUACACUCGCAUUUGUGUGUGUGUGUGUGCAUAUAUAUAUAUAUAUAUAUAUAUAUAUAUAUAUAUAUAUAUAUAUAUAUAUAUAUAUAUAUAUAUAUACAUAUAUAUAUAUAUAUAUACAUUCAUUCAUAUACAUAUAUAUAUUUCUUUACUACCCACAAGGGGCUAAACACAGAGGAGACAAACAAGGACAGACCAACAGAUUAAGUCGAUUACAUCGACCUCAGUGCGUAACUGGUACUUAAUUUAUCGACCCCGGAAGGAUGAAAGGCAAAGUCGACCUCGGCGGAAUUUGAACUACAUAGCUCCAUACAUGCAUACACACAAACACACACACACAUAGUUUCGGCUGUUAUAUUUCGUUUAUUAUAUUAUUGUUUUAAUAUACGUGUGUGUGAGCGCCCGUGUGCGUGUGUGUGUGUGUGUGCAUGUGUGUGUGUGUGUGCGUGUGUGUGUAUGUAUGUGUGUGUGUGUGUGUGUGUGUGUGUGUGUGUGUGUGUGUGUGUGUGUAUUUUCGGGCUGUUGUACGUCAGUCAUUGCAUUAUUGCUCUCAACAUAUUUUUCGAGUUAUUUUUCUAAGAUGCUUAAGACGCAAAAAUAAAAGAAAAUAUAAAACAGUCGAAGCAGCUUAUCAUCAUAAUCAUGAAUCACGUUAUCAACCAGUAAUCAUUAACACAAUUAACUGGUUUUCAAAGCUUCGGAUUUUUCGAGUAAAUCCGCUUCCCAAACUCUGUAAUGACUACAGAGAUUAAAACAAAAGCACCCCUGUCUGCUGAAACGCGUAAGAAACGUAUGGGAAAACGGCGGCAGUUGUAGCGGUGGCGGCGGUUGUGUUGGCAACGCUGGCGGUGAUGGUGACGGUGGUAUUGGUUUUCGUAAAAGAAUAGUGAAGUGAGGUGGGGUGUGGGUACUGGUGUGCUAAGUUUGGCCAGCGUGACCGGCGGAAUAUACGUGUAGAGGAAACUUUCUUUUUCAUGAUCAAUGAUAAUGUUAUGAACCGAUUAUUGUUCUCAAAAUGAGUGGUAUUUGAACUCCAUAAUUCACCCUUCGUGGGCUAGCGAGAAGCCUUGGGACCCCAGUAAAAUUUUAAAGGUGUGCAAGUUUUAGAUCUUUUGUUCAAAUGAUUUUUAUAUCUCACGACUUUUAUUGUCAAUAGUUUAUGUAUACACAUACAAAUUUGUGUAAAAAAUUUCCAGUCAUAUGGAUGUUAAAGCAUAAAAUAAGGUAAUUGGGGUCCAACCGGACCCCACUGGCCUUCUGCGCAUUUUUUUCUGUUCUUUUUUCAGAUAUUCUGAUGAACUCUAAAUCAAUUUUCUUCGUAUUUCUACUGUUAUGAACCGAUAUACUAAAUAUUUUUGUUUUAUUUUAUAUUUAGAGCUAUAUGCAUAGUUUAUAAAACUAUAAAAAAUGUUCUGUUGUGUCUGGAGGGAGUCAUUUUCUUUUUGUGCCUUAUAAUGUAACACACUCACCGGUAAAAUUUCCCCCGGACUCCCCAGACACAACAGAAUAUGCUUCAACACACGAACUCAUAUAAAGAAUCUUGCAAGACAAAUCCGAAAACGAAAUAUAAAAAAUGUUGAUUUCUUUCAAUAAAGGUUAUUUUUUUUCAGUCAAGGAAUUAUAUUUCAAUUGUCCCUCCAUUAAACGCUAAUAAUUACAAAUAUAUUUCUAUAAAGUGCUAAAUUUCUUGUUCUGUAUCAUGCAGUCAUACAUAUAUGCAAGAUUAAACAAAUAUUAUUUUAUGGAUAAGGCGGAAAUGCACAAAAAUAAAAGUGAAUCCCUCAGUAUCCCAAUGGCCUUUUGUGUCAUUCCAACCUCGCCGGCCCACGAAGGGUUAAACUAAAUUAAACGUUAUCCGCUUAUUUGAAUUAAACGUCUUGGUAGUUUUGUAUCUUUGCUUAAUGUUAUCAACAUGUUUCUAUUGUCGGAAAGAUUUCAUCCAAAACUUACCAUCAUAAGUAAAUUGACGUUGACGUUUUUUAUCUUACCUGGGGCACUAACAAUAACAGGAACAGUUGUCGCUUUAAGAUGCCACAUCUUUUGUAUUCCAAUUUCCAGGACCUUAUAUUUACUUAAUUUGUCAAAUUCCUCAAUUUGCCAAAUUCCUUAUAUUUGUCAAAUUCCUUAUUAUUUUUAUUAUUAUUAUUAUUAUUAUUAUUAUUAUUAUUAUUAUUAUUAUUAUUAUCAUUAUCAUUAUCAUUAUUAUUAUUAUUAUUAUUAUUAUUAUUAUUAUUAUUAUUAUUAUCGUAUUGGCUGGACGCGUAUCGAAUAGCUCAUAAUUUUUAUCUGUUUAUAUGUGCCUCCAAAACUUGUUAAUUGUUCAAUAUUGUUAAUCUUGAAACCACCAGUAUUGUAUAGGUCUGCUUGGUUUGCUUGUUUGUACUCCUUUAGGGGCUAAAAUUCGAAAAGAAAAUUUUCAUUUUGUUAUGGAAAAGAAUAACUUUAAAAACAAACAUGACGAUGUCCACCCUGCUGAGGGACGCGAGUUGGGAUGUCAGAGGUAGCUCUAAUAGUGAGUUAUAAUAUGUGUAAUGGAGGCGCAAUGGCCCAGUGGUUAGGGCAGCGGACUCGCGGUCAUAGGAUCGCGGUUUCGAUUCCCAGACCGGGCGUUGUGAGUGUUUCUUGAGCGAAAACACCUAAAAAGCUCCACGAGGCUCCGGCAGGGGACGGUGGUGAUCCCUGCUGUACUCUUUCACCACAACUUUCUCUCACUCUUACUUCCUGUUUCUGUUGUACCUGUAUUUCAAGGGGCCGGCCUUGUCACUCUCUGUGUCACGCUGAAUAUCCCCGAGAACUACGUUAAGGGUGCACGUGUCUGUGGAGUGCUCAGCCACUUACACGUUAAUUUCACGAGCAGGCUGUUCCGUUGAUUCGGAUCAACCGGAACCCUCAUCGUCGUAACCGACGGAGUGCUUCCAUAAUACAUGUUAGAGUCCUCCACCUUCACCCCUCAAAUAGAAGGAGACACCAAGUUCAAAGUCCAGAGGACCACACUAUGACGACUAACAGAAACAACUGUAACAACACAGCACAGUAAUUUAAUUCUAUGAAAUUGACUUCCUGAAAUAAAAGGGACAAUACCACAGACAUCAAACAACAGCGACAACAAUGCGACCACGGACAUGGAUAUCACCAUCUCCAUCACCACCACCACUGCAACCACAAAAAUCCUGAUAGAAGGAAAAAACAAAAAACAAAAAUAAAUGUAAUCUCGGCAACACAAAUGGCAAUAAUAUUUCGAACGUGAAUAACAACACCAACAGCAGGAGGCACAAUGGCCCAGUGGUUAAGGCAGCGGACUCGCGGUCGGAGGACCGCGGUUUCGAUUCCCAGACCGGGUGUUGUGUGUGUGUUUAUUGAGCGAAAACACCUAAAGCACCACGAGACUCCGGCAGGUGGUGGUGGCGACCCCUGUUGUACUCUUUCGCCCCAACUUACUCUCACUCUUUCUUCCUGUUUCUUUUCCCCGACUUCCUACGCAACCGCUGAGCCUGGAUGCGCAUUCAUCCAUCCGUCGAUGCUCUUGGUGUAGGGGGUUGACCUGCUUUCUCUUCUGCGGGUCUUAAGAAUAGCAAAGGACCACGUUUCAGACUUCUCUCAUUUCGCCAGCUCUAGGACGAAGACCUUUCGCUCAACAGCAACAGCAACACCAACACCAACACCAACAGCAAUAACAACAACAAUACAUUCGCAGCAACGGCUUCUAAGGGCACUUAAAUGUAUAACAUGGAUAUACUACAGAAAGUCAUAUGUCUCACCCAAGCGACCAAACCGAUUAAGCACCAGCUUGUUGUGCUCUAGCAUCUGGUCUGUUUCUAUUGAGAAAUCCCACAGGAUAUUGCAGGUCUCCGCCUUCGCCACUCUUUCUACUUUAUACUCAUACUACGUCUUGAAGGCGGCGAGCUGGCAGAAACGUUAGCGCGCCGGGCGAAAUGCUUAGCGGUAUUUCGUCUGUCGCCCUUGUGGGUAAUAAAGAAAUAGGUAUUUCGUCUGCCGCUACGUUCUGAGUUCAAAUUCCUUCGAGGUCGACUUUGCCAUUCAUCCUUUCAGGGUCGAUAAAUAAAGUACCAGUUACGCACUGGGGUUGAUCUAAUCGUCUUAAUCCCUUUGUUUGUCCUUGUUUGUCCCCUCUAUGUUUAGCCCCUUGUGAGCAAUAAAGAAAUGUAUACUCAUACUACGUCUUGCAUCUCUCUAGACCCCACUUUUCACAUAGUUUCCAAUGUAGCACUUCUGCGCUACCUCGUCGUAUCGGCACAACUUAUAAUGACUCUGGGAAAGUCUGGGACAUUCGUUCACGAUAUGGGCAAUGGUUUCGUCAACUCUAUUAGAGAUUCGGUACAGUGGAGACAUUUGCUCGUUCUUAAGGUAGACCCUCCAGUUUGUGAAUUGUUGAUUUUUAUUGUUUACUAGCACUAUGACCCGGCAACGCCGGGUCAUAGUGCUAGUGUAUGCAUAUACAGCUGCCUGCGUGCGCACAUAUAUGCGAGUACUGUCCAAGUCUCCGACCAAUCAUAUACAGCUAGCUGGCAUUCAAUUGGCGUAUCAAGUUUUGGGCAUUUUGAUUGGAUUUUGGAUAGAAAAUUCACAAAAAAGUCACUUCUAUUGAUUUUUAAUGGCUUUGCGGAGUGACUUGGUAAAUGUAAAGAUGUGCACGAUCACCCUUGGAUGGCUUUGAAUGACCAUAAUAAGUGCGAGCCCUCUAACUGAAAAAUUGUGGAUUUGUAUAGAGGACACACACAAGACAUUUUGCCGUUUAUAUAUAGAGAGAUUCGUGUUUAUGCAAAUCCCCAUUGUCUUUUGUCGCUGAAUUCCUUUUGUGGCCCCUGUGGCCAAUAACGAAACUACUACUACUAUUACUACUACUACAAUUAUUACUACUAAGGCGGUGGGCUGGAAGACUCGUUAGUGCUUCUUACAAAAUACUUAGCGACAUUUUUCCCGGCUCUCUGUGUUCUGAGAAAGCGUAGAAACAAAGCUGACUUCGGUAAAUUGAUCAUUUUGAUCAGUAAAAAGGUCAACCAUCGUUAUUUGGAGACCGUCCAAAAAGCAGUCGGAUUCGGACCCAUUCUCAGAGGUUGGGUCGCUGCAAUGUACAGCAGCAUCUAUUUGUGCAGCUGAGUAUUGCAGCGAUUGCAAUUUGACGUUGGCGUGAUUUGAACUCAGAGCGCCAACAGGAGGAACAAAUAUCACGGGGCUUUCCUCCGACGCUGUAAUGAUUCCGUCAAUUCGCUGCUUUCCCAUAGAUCUACACAUAUUUCUUUACUACCCACAAGGGGCCAAACACAGAGGGGACAAACAAGGACAGACAAACGGAUCAUGUCGAUUACAUCGCCCCCAGUGCGUAACUGGUACUUAAUUUAUCGACCCCGAAAGGAUGAAAGGCAAAGUCGACCUCGGCGGAAUUUGAACUCUGAACGUAACGGCAGACGAAAUAGGCUACGCAUUUCGCCUGGCGUGCUAACGUUUCCGCCAGCUUGCUGCCUUCCAUAGAUCUACACAUAGUUAACUGAAAGUUCUACAUCAGCAAACACAGAGAAACAGAAAGAGGGCAGAUGCAGAUAGACAGUGGGGAGAGACAGAGAGAGAGAAAGAGAUUAAAUACACACAUUCAAAUUCACAAAUAAAUGCAUUCACACAAAUAUACACGAGUUCAAAGUAAUUUAAAAUGCCGUAGUUAUUACACUAUGUAUAAUAGUUUCAGUCGGUUGACACAAUUUGUAAUAAUUUUACAUUUUUCACGGACUCAUAAAUUUGUAGGAGUGGGGUUUAAUUUUAAACAGUGGUUAUUAUUCUAUUGCAAGUUUAAGAAUAACAACAGGACAUUUACUGACAGGAAGCGACUCAACACUGACAGUCGAGUUAAAUUCAUUGAAAAAUUAGAAUUGUCUUAGACUUUAAGUUUCGCCGGACUGGACGAAUAAGCUGUCAAGCGAAAAGUAAAGUCUUAAUCAACGCGAACUUAACACUAAAUAGGUAUUUGCUUCUAAGCGACUGAAUCAAUCGUAAUGUGUUACAUACUGAUUUUGUUAUUGUUGUUGUUGUCGUUGUCAUUAUUGUUGUCAUUUAGCCUCCCCGCUCCUUCCCAUGUUAGCUCUGGACUACAAAACCUAUGAUGAAAUAUUUCGCCGUGAGUUAACAUAAUUUAAAUGGAUACUGUUCUUGUCAUUUAGCCCCCAUGCCAGACGUGAUCGAGAAAUUCUAUGAUCAAAGGUAUUCCGUCCGUAACGGCCUGGCCUUUUUCUUUCAAAUCCCUUUAGCCAAUGUAUUUAUAAGGCUGUUAUAUUAUUGAGUGAGAGAGCAGUUCUUGCCAUCAAAGAGACAAUGGGGUAAAAUAUACCAAGCUCAGUAUGCCCAUCAUGACUACUCGUCAGAUAAGGGUACACCAGCACAUGCAUCAUAUCCUUAUGUGCGCGACAUAGUGAUCUCAAAUCAAGAUCCACUUAGAAUUUUCUUCAGGUCGGGUAGCCUCAAAAGGUCCCUAAAUAAGAGUUGUUUAAGGGUGUUGAAUGAAAUAUCCAUGUUUCCGAAGGUGUAUUAUCCAAACCCCAAAGAAAUUCCUCUCAACACUUGGCUAUGAUGCUCCCCCAUUACUUCUGCUCUUGAUCAGAGAUGCACAUAUCGUCAGCCACCAAGAAACAUGCUGAACUGGUUAAGGUCAAACAACUGACAAGCAAAUCUGUGGUAUUGAACAGAAUAUUGAGUAGAAUAUUAUUAUUUCUUGUUGUCGUUGUUGUUGUUGCUGCUGCUGCUGCUGCUGUUGUUGUUGCUGUUGUUGUUGUUGUUGUUGUUGUUGUUGUUGUUGUUGUUGUUGUUGUUGUUGUUGUUGUUGUUGCUGCUGUUGUUGUUGCUAUUAUUAUUAUUAUCAUCAUCAUUAUUAUUAAGGCGGCGAGCUGGAAGAAUCGUUAGCACUCCGGGCAAAAUGCUUAGGAGAUCGAUAAAAUAAGUACCAGUUGAGCACUGGAUCGAUGUAACCAAGUAGCAAUCCCUUCAAAAUUUCAGACGUUGUGCCUAUAGCAAAAAGGAUAUUAAAACAAAAUGGUAAUGAUUAAUCAAUAACCGAGAAGUUUAUUUGAUUGAUUCACUUAUGUUCUUCAAGAAUGAAAAAUUGAUCCUAGAUUGCUCAAACAUCCUAUUCAGUUUAAAAUACCAGAACGAAUUCUCAUGCCUUUGGAAAUUAAUACAAGAAUACAUUCGUACAUAUACAUACAUACAGACCGGCAGACAGACAGAGAAAUGUAGGUACAUAAAAUACCAUACAAUAUAAACUCGUUAUUUAUUGAAAUUAUCUUUACCUCUAAAGGAUGUGUCACAAUUACCAAAUGACAAUUGAGAUCAUCUCCAUCUAAGAAGGAAGAUCAUCCCCAUGUAAGAAAGAAGAUAAUCUCCAGAAUCAAGAAUACUUAAAAGUUAACAUGCCAUCAACAAAAUAACUUACAUAUUGUCUAGAAAUAAGGGGACAAUCGUGGACUGUCACUAGGCAUCAUCAGCACGACGGUUGUCCCAGCCUAUCCCCAGUGGUCAAGGGACAUACAUACAUACAUACAUACAUACAUGAUGAUGAUGGCCGUCCACUCGUGACUACUGUUGACCUUUAGGAACCUUGUGCGCUGUAGGACGAACAUUUUGCAUUUACGGCUCCGUUGGUGGCUAAUGAAUCCUGCUCUUGUCAAUCAUACACGACUACUGACAUUGCAAACUAAGCUUUCCCCAUUCACUAUGCUACUAAUUCAAAAGUUUUCCAGUCUCUUAUUCGUGACGUCCUUUAUGGAGAUGACUGUGACUUAAUCACUCAUACAGUGGAUGACAUGCAAAUACUUAUGAAUCGUAUUUCUGCUUCCUGCAAGGCAUUAGGACUCAGCAUUAGCCUGGACAAGACUGUUGUAAUGUUCCAGCCUGCACCAGGAAAUCCUUAUGUGGAACCAGCUAUCUUGGUUUAAGGAACAAUACUAAAAGUGGUCGACAAUUUUUUCUACUUGGGCAGCACAUUCAGCCGUUCUUGCUCCCUGGAUGAUGAGAUAUCUUUCAGACUGAUAUCAUACAUACAUAUGGUGGCUGCCCCCUCGUUAUCGAGUAUGACCAUUGCACGAAGCCUAAUCAAUGUUGUUAUCGUGCAAUGCCUGUGCAAGAAGAUUUUUUUAAAGUGAGGAAAGGCUGUGGACUGAGACAAUCCCACUCACUAAGCAACAGCAGUCAUAAUCAAAGGGCGGAGGAACUCUUGGGAGCCAACGGCCAUCCAAUAAAUGUCUUAAAGCUGUAUCAUGCGCGGGACAUAGAAAUAAUCGGACUGAAUACCCGAUCGCGCGAUUAAACCAUUGGAAGUGAAAGACUCCUAGCCUUUGUUAGGGCAUCCUUCUAGGAGAUGGUAACUCAGGUAACUGGGAUAACUCCGACAUAAAACAUACGUACAUUCAUACAUACAUACAUACGUAAGCCAAAGAAAUAAGAACCCACAGAAUGGUGGAAGCCAUAGCCAUUCAUAAUAAGAAGUACUGGUGGAAUGUCCCAGUGAAAACCUCAGUAAAAUGUAAACAUAGACCUGACAAAAUGAUUUAGGACAGACAAGAGAAACUGUACAGUUGUUGAAAUCAGCUGCCCAGCGGAUGUUAAUAUCAAGAUAAAGAUCAGCGAAAAAGAAAUUACCUACGCCGAACUAUUGAGAAGUCUACGUUUACUCUAUCCAGAUUUAAAGUUCAGAUCUAUACCUGUAAUUAUUGGGACACUGGGAUAUGUAACACACUGCUUAAAUACCAGUCUUGAGAAAUUAGGCUUCUUAAAACCAGAAAGGAGAAAGUUGAUUCGAAAAUAAUAAAUCCAAGCCAUCACCGGAACGGUAAAAACCUGUAAAACUUUCCAGAUUUAUUUCAUUUAAGUAUAUAUGAGCGUGUCUAGACAUGCAAUACAUACAUGCUUGAGAAUACAUACAUGAAACAAAACACAAUCUGCACUCAUAUAUACAUACAAAAAUGCCCUGUUAAUGUUGUUAAAAUUCCACUGGAGUUCGGAUUCAGGUUAGAAACUGGCUCUUUCUCAAUUGGCAAAAGAUCUUGAAAUAAAACUGAAUAAUGACAUACAUACAUACAUACAUACAUACAUACAUACAUACAUACAUACAUACAUACAUACAUACAUACAUACAUACAUACAUCGAUUCAGCCAGCCUCUAAAUGAGUACCUGGUUUCUUCCACAGCAUCUACUAACCACCAAAAGUGGUAAAUAACAUAAUAGGAUUCAAAAAGGAGCUUAUCGGAAAGUACUCCUUGACUAAUGACUAAGGUUAUACAUCCAAGGAAGUUAUACAGAUUAAAGGUUUUCUGCUUCUCGGUAGAAGGUCAUGCAUGGAUAUGUUGCGAUAAAGCUUUAGCUUGACAGUAACAUAAGUGACCAGAAUAGUUUCACCUUGGACCAACAUCCAGUAUACUAACUGACAAUUUGAAUCGUUUGCAUUGCCAAUCCUAGAACAGAAAAUAAUCUGAUGUCUAUACCGGAUAAAGAUAGAAGUAAAACACUUCGAUAUGAAGACUUAGGUAAGUUCUGUGGAAUUAACAACGAAGAUAUGACUCGCAUCGUAAUCAGCCGUCCGAAAAUGACAUAUCGUACAAUGAAGUAUGAGGUCAAGGCCAAAACAGAACACACGGCAAUCCAUAGACAGAACAGUACUGAAAAUCAAAAUAUAAGAAUUGAGAGUAAUGUAAAACCAGGUUUUAUUUUCGUUUCUUUUUUUUUACUUGGAGGAGGUGACUAUGAAAAUUGAAAAUUAAAAUUAAGAUGUUAUUAACCUCUAUAAACAUGUCCAGUACCAUGGUGCAGAAAGAAUUAUAUGGAUGCAAGUACUAUGGUCAUUAUGUCCUUCAGUAUUUUGGUACUGUUCUUUUUGCACCGGAAUUGAUGGUAUUCUUACCUAUAAUAUUGACUUCAAAUUUUGGCACAAGGACAGCAAUUUCGGGAGAGGGGAUAAGUCAAUAUUUAUAUAUACACUUCAGAAGAUAUGAAUGUCAGAGCUUUGUGACUUGCAUUCUCCUUCCGAAUCCAAUCGCUUAGUGGUACAAAGCAGGUUCAUAAAGCAUUCCAAGGACUCUCUAUUUAAAUUUCGUAGAAUGAACAUACGAACAUACAUACAAUCAUGUACGUGAAUUCGGCACACACGCAAACACACACACACACCAACACCACCACCACCACCACCACCACACAACACCAUACUACACACAUAUAUGGGGGCACACAUAUACUCCUAUGCAAAACAAAAUACAUGCACGCAUGUUUAUGAAUAUAUAUACAUACAUAUAUAUACAUAUUUAGCCUUCGGACUAAAACAUUUUUAAGGAUUUAAGGAUAUAUGUAUGUGUAUAUAUAUGUAUAUAUAUAUAUAUAUAUAUAUAUAUAUAUAUAUAUAUAUAUGUGUGUGUGUGUGUGUGUGUGUGUGUGUGUGUGUGUGUGUGUGUGUGUGUGUGUGUGUGUGUGUGUGUGUCGCCCCAUCUUUAGUUCGUUAUGCUAUGUGGGCAGUGUCUGAUGAUUGUGCUGGGACACCUGACGUGUUAUAAAACAAUGUUCUCAGUACAUGAAACUAGUAGCGCAUAAAAACAUAUAUUGUGUUUAUUAAUUAAUAUUUGUCUCUCACAAGAUGGAGUACUUUUUAUGUUGAUCUUACCAUUACGAAACAAUACACCAUAUAUAUGUAUAUAUAUAUAUAUAUAUAUAUAUAUAUAUAUAUAUAUAUAUAUAUAUAUAUAUAUAUAUAUGGAUUGUUGUAGGUGUUAUGUAUCGUACUCCUUUGCAACGCGUUGAUGACACUGCAACUAAAAGUCUUUCGGUUGAAGCGCCGUUUCUCUCAUCAGAUGAAGCCAUAGUGUUAUUUCGUUCUGAUUUUUUUAUAGUGUUUUCUUGGCACAAAUAAUGGAGUGGUUUGCCCUUGCCUUCCCCAACUGUAUGGCAAUUGGCCCACAAGGAGUCAUCUUUUCUUCAAGAAGUCUUGUUUUUAGUCCUACUGAGUGUCCAGAUACCUAUUUCUUUACUACCCACAAGGAGCUAAACACAGAGAGGACAAAACAAGGACAGACAAACGGAUUAAGUCGAUUAGAUCGACCCCAGUGCGUAACUGGUACUUAUUUAAUCGACCCCGAAAGGAUGAAAGGCAAAGUCGUCCUCGGCGGAAUUUGAACUCAGAAUGUAGCGGCAGACGAAAUACUGCUAAGCAUUUCGCCCGGCGUGCUAACGUUUCUGCCAGUUUGCCGCCAGAUACCAUCCUAUAUGGUACCAUCGCAAUUCCCAUCAGCCCAGAUAUACACACGUACGUACGUAAAAAUGGAUCUCCGUCAGUUUCGACGAUGGACUAUAUAAUUUUUCGAUCAACUAGCGAACCCAGAAAUAAGAUUGCCGCUAUGGUUGUUUGUUCUCCUACUCGGGAAGAACUUUUGAUAAGUUCGGAAUGUAUCAUAUAUGGCAAUUAACAUGUAUUCCUUGAUUUGUGUGCGUGUGUGUAUGUGUUUCUGUCUGUCUGCGUGUGUGUGUGGGUGUGUGAGUGUGUCUGUGUAUUUGAUUAUGUGUGAUUGUGUGCGUGUGUCUCCGUGUCGCUGAAUGUAGGCGUAUGUGUGUGUUUGCGUGCACGGGUGUGCAUGUUUGUGGAUACAUACAUACGUGUGAGUCUGUGUGUGCGGAUACUUAUAUAUACGGGUGCGCGUGUAUAAAUACGCUUGUUUUAGUACAUAAUAUACACACUUUCACUUGACACGUAUACACACACAUUGUGCAUACACACACACACAUAUAUAUGUUCCACCUAGCUCCUAACCCGUCACCCGUUUCUUUCUUCUCUUUUCAACCAUAUUUUUUCUCUUUUCACACUCAUUUACUUUUCUUCUUUUUCACUGUUCUUCUGAAGAAGGAGAAACGUUUGAAACGUUAAGCUCUUCCUUUCCUUUCCUUUCUGAGCGUUAGACUAAUACAAUAUUUGUUCAAAUUUGUCCCGCCACUGCUGUCUUUUUACUUUUUCUUUUUCUUUUUUUUUUCAUCGCGUUCGCAAUACAUACUUGCAUGCAUACAUACAUACAUACAUACAUACAUACAUACAUACAUACAUACAUACAUACAUACAUACAUACAUAUAAAUAUGUAUGUAUAUGCAUCAAUACAAACGACUUUGCUAAAUUAAAUGUUAGAUUAUUAGAUAAUUCGAUUACUUAAUCAAAUCUAUGUAGGCUUGUCCACUUAACUACAUGAACGAAAACAAAUAAUUUCAGUUCAUUGCAUAAUAGAACUGCGAUUUUUUCCCUGGACAAAUAGUAAAUAUUUUAUUUGAUAUGAAUAGGAUAUUCUGGAAUCUUCCAUUUCAUAAGUUACAGUGACAGUAAAUCGUUAUUUCAUGCUUUACAAACCACCAAUGCUAAAUAAGUUAAUCAAUUAAGAUCAUUGGAAUGAAUCAUAAUUAUCGAAGUCCAGCAUCCUUUCUUUUAUCAUAUUUGUAGUCGUCCAAAAUGCAUAUCAUCAAAAAAUAUAAUCUUCCCAGUCUUUUCUCUUUUAUGUUUUACUUGUUUCAAUCACUGGACUGCGCCCAUGCUUAGGCACCGCGUUGAAGGGUUUUAGUCGAACAAAUCGCCCCCUAUACUUACGUUUAUUUUAUUUUUUUUAAGGCUGAUGCUCAUUCUCACGGCUUCUCUUGCCGAACUGCUAAGGUGGGGACACAAACAAACAAACAGCGGUUAUCAAACAAUGUUGGGGCAGAGAGAUUAACUUAGGCACAAAGAUACACGGGACACAGAUAGACACACACACACACUUAUAUAUAUGUUUCUCAUCCACGUGAUCCCAAUCGUCAUCCUGAAAUCGUCACUCCACCGCCGUGGAGGUCUUCCGGGUGGUCUUUUCCGCUCACGCGGGUACCACUCGAUAACUGCGUGCGUCCACCGAUUAUCGGUGAGCCGGGUGACGUGUCCAGCCCAUCUAUACUUGCUGCGUGUAUACUCUGCGAUGACUUCUCUCACGCCGGGCUUCUUUCUGAUGAUCUUGCUACUUAUGUGCUCACUCAACGAGAUACCAAGCAUUGAGCCGUUACCAGUCUUUGCUCUUCUCUCUUUGUGGUAGCCCAUGUUUCACUACCAUAUAACAUUGCAGGCAGAACUGCACUGUUAAUGAGGUUGGCGCGGGUGGUCCUGUCCAACCUUCCCUUGAGCACAUCCCUUAUGCCAUUGACCGCCUUCCAUCCGGCCCUUACUCUCCGUGAGAUCUCCUUUUUCAUAUUCCGGCACAUAUUUACUUCCUGUCCCAAGUAGACAUAUUCCCUCACCUCCUCUAUUUCAUCACUGCCGAUCACGAUUUGACCUGUUGGUACAUUUUCUGACCGCAUGAACUUUGUUUUCAUGCGGUUCAUCAUGGGACCUACUGCAGAACUUUUGAUGUCGAGCUCCGUCAGCAUAGUCUGAAGCUGAUCCAUGUUUUCAGCGAUGAGUACGAUGUCGUCUGCGAAACGGAGGUGAGUGAGGAACUCGCCAUUGAUGUUGACACCACCUUGCCAGUCGAUGCCUCUGAUGAUCUGUUCGAGACAUGCAGUGAAAAGUUUUGGGGAGAUUGUAUCUCCUUGCUUCACUCCCUUCUCGACCGGCACUCGUAUGGGUGAUGACAGUAGAGCUAUGUCGGUGGUGCAUCCGGAAUUUGCCUCUCUGAGCAGCUGCACAUAUUGCGCUUCGAUUCCUUGCCUCUGCAGCGAGUUCAGCACUGCGUUGGUUUCGACGCUAUCGAAGGCCUUCUCAUAAUCUAUAAACGCAACGCAAUGAGGCAGUUUGUACUCAUUUGCUCGCUCAAGCAGUUGCGUUAGAGUAAAUAUAUGGUCCAUUGUGCUGUAGUUCUUCUGGAAGCCUGCUUGUUCCCUCGGUUGUUGUUCGUCGAGACGACGUGACAGCCUGUUCAGAAUUAUCUUCGUGAACAGCUUGUACACGUGAGACAGCAGGCAUAUGGGUCGGUAGUUCUUUAGAUCUUCUCUGUCGCCCUUCUUAUACAGCAGGAUGGUAUUUGACUCUUUUCACUGCGAGGGAAUUCUUCCUUCGUCUAGAUAGUGCGUAAAUCGCUGCUCUCUGCCUGACUUUAGCACCUCCGAUGUUAUACCGUCUUUCCGUGGAGCCUUUCCGUUUUUCAUCGAUCCGAUGGCUCUUUCAACCUCACUGACAAGGAUAGGUGGCACGUUUUCUUCCUGUUGGAGUGGUGGUAACGGCUGGACAUUUCUGGUAGACUUAAAGAUUUGGCAUGGGAGAGAGAAACGAGAGAGGAGAAUGUUUGGCUACCAUGGCAGAGGCGAGGCAGCUCUACAUCGGAAACAGCCUAUUCAGGAAGAGGGAGAGGAAGAGAUGGACUUGGAUAUCGCCGAACUCUAAGCACCGAAGCGAGAUCGACUACAUCCUGGUUGAUAAGCGACGCAUAUUACAUGACGUCUCCGUCGUGACGCCAUUCAACACCGGCAGCGAUCAUCGUCUGGUAAGGGCGAGGGUUGUCAUCGACGGGAAGAGGGAGAAGAGGGCGUUAUAUUUGGCGUCGAAGGGAAAACGUGUCCGAGUCUACAACGAGGCAAAGCUGCAGGAAGCCAUCAUGCAUGAAGGCUGGUGCCAAGGAGACGACAUAGACGAUGACUACAACUCACUGAUAGGGAAACUGAAGGAGUGUUUAAGGAAGGCUAAGGGAGUAUGCCCAAGAGAAAAGAAGGGAAGAAUCUCGGAGGAAACUACGAAGUUACUCGAGAAGAGGAAAAAUAUGAAGAGUACUAUUGAAGAUCACCUUGAAUAUUCCAUUCUCAGCAGAGUGAUUCGUCAGCAACUAAAGAAAGACUUUGAGGCAUACCGGAUGGAGAAGCUCUUGAAGGCCGCAGAGGAAAAGAAGAGCCUCAAGAAAUGCAAGAGUGACAUGGUACUAUAUAGAUCGGAGGUGACGGCCCUGAAAAAUACAGAUGGAAUACGGUCAACGGGAAGAGCGAGAUGGAAAAAGUUUGUGAAGACUUCUACACCAAGCUCUUUAAGUCUACCAGAAAUAUAUAUAUACAUAUAUAUAUAUAUAUAUAUAUAUAUAUAUAUAUAUAUAUAUAUACACAUGUAUAUAUACAUAUAUAUAUAUAUAUAUAUAUAUAUAUAUAUAUAUAUAUAUAUAUAUAUAUAUAUACAUACAUACACACAUACACAAUGAGCUUUCACUGUUUCUGCCUACCAAAUUAAUUCACUCACAAGACAUUCAUCGACCUGAAGCUAUAGUAAAAGCUCAAGGUGUCGCGCAGUGGGACUGAACCUGACACUACGUGGUUGCAAAUCGAGUUUCUUAACCACACAACUAUGUCUGCAUCUAUGUAUGUAAAAUUUAUUCCUAAAAAAAUAGUUUUAAACUAAGUAUUGAAAUGGACGCUAUUAAGUUGUUUUCAUGACCUAGCAGAAACCAUUGGCAGAAACCAUUGGCGCGUCGGGCAAAAUGCUAAGCGUUAGUUCUUCCGGCUCCUUACGACCUGUGUUCAAAUCCUGCCGAAUUCAACUUUGCCUUUCAUCUCUUUGCCUUUCAUCUCUUUGCCUUUUAUCGAGCUCGAUAGAAUAAAAUAUCAGGUAAUCACUGUGAAUCGAUAUAAUUCAACCAACGCUCUCCCUUCUCCUCAAAACCUGCUGGCUUUGUGCCAAAAAUUGAAGCUGCUAUCAAUUAGAUUAAUCGCUGAUUGACUGAUUUAUUUUCUUAAUGGCAUGGCCCUAGUUAUUAUAAGUAUCUUAGAAUAUGUGAAUGUCAGUUGUCGGAACACAUGAAUUUAAAUAAUCUUGGAUAAUACAAAUUGAUAAAUAUUAGAAAAAGUCGAUAAACUUCAUACGAGAGCAGUCAAAUGAUAGUUAUAGCGAUACAUAUCAAUGUAAAAUAAAUGAGUAGAAGUUAUGUAUGCACAAAAGUUGUAAAUUAAACGAACGUUUUAUUCUUGUUUUAUGAUGUAAUUUAUACGAAUGGAAGAGUUUUAAAAUAAAAUUGAUAGGAACAACGAACAGAAGGAAGGAGAAUGAGGAUAGAGAGAAGGAAAGUGAGUGAGAGAAAGGGAGCGAGAGAGAGGACGAAGAGGACAGAGAAAGCAAGGAAAAGACGAGAGAAAAAAUAAAAGAAAGAACAAUUGGGGUCAAUUGUCCAUCUUUGUAGUAAGGGAUAACGGUUUGGGUGUACUUAAGCUUAUAGUUUAAAGAGGCCAAUAAAGAAGAAAAGUAAUUGAUGAGACUGAGGGUAGCAGAUGUCACAGAUGUGUGACGGGAUGGCUGCAUAAAGGAUGUGAAAAACUGAUGGAGAUAUUUGUACGUGAAUUCGGUUGAAACUUUACAUACAGAGACAAUGGGUCACAAGAGGUACUAUUCAAAUGGUUCUGAGGAUGGAGGAAGACGAUGGUCAUAGGGUAGCUUAAGUUAGAAGCAGAGAACUGUUGUAGCAAGAGGAAAGCUAUUCUAUCACUGAAUCUGCAGAGAAGGUCUCUAUGUGACUUUGAAUAGAGAGGGUAGACCAAUAGUUUGUUGUUAUUGGCUGGAUACAAACUGGGACUUGAUCAACCCCGGCUGGAUCAAAUGGUCGAAGAAGUCUGAUGUUGAAAGAUCCGAAAUUAUCUGAGACCCCAGAAACAUCACUGACGAUACAUCCACAAUAUGUAUCUUACACCAAUACACACACACACGUAUAUAAAGUUUCUUCGUAUUUCAGUCUUUAUUAGUUCAAACAAAUCACAUGCGAAAAGCGUUUCUUCAUCAAAAUAUAUCCCGUCAUAUUCUAUUGUUUUUUACCAUUGUAUCGCCAUCAGCCCCUGCCCGAGACUCGUGGAGCUUUAGGUGUUUUCGCUCAAUAAACAUUCACAACGCCCGGUCUGAGAAUCGAAACCGCGAUCCUACGACCGCGAGUCCGCUGCCCUAACCACUGGGCCAUUGCGCCUCUACAUAUAUAUGUGUGUGCGUGCGUGUGCGUGUGUGUGUGUGUGUGUGCGUGUGUGUGCGUGUGUGUGUGCGUGUGUGUGUGUGUAUGUGUAUGUGUGUGUGUGUGUGUUAAUGUAAUUGAAACAAUUGUUGGAUUUUUAAGGUGUGAUCUACAAUAAAAAUAUGAUUUUUCUUCGUACAUAUUAUUGAUUGUUGUUAAUACUCUGGAUUUCUUAAAAUUCAGUAGAAGGAUUGUUGGAUUUACCAACCAUACAUGAGGACUUUUUACCUGCCAUUUGUAUUCUACAUCCAUUUACUGGUAUCUUUUAUCGUAUACCUUUAUACUGAGUGCUUACUUGAUAUCUACCAGGAUUUUUUUAUCUAUUUUAUUCUUAUAUAUAUAUAAUAUAUAUAUAUAUGGCGGUGCCCCAGCAUGGCCACAGCUCGUGAGCUGAAACUAGAUAAAAUAAAAUAAAUAAAAUAAAUAAAAAUAAAAAAUAAAUAAUAGCGAGAAGUUGAGGUCAUAAGAGAUAAUGGUAUCAUUGAAGCCCAAAGGUGUCAGGUAAUGCUGAAUAAGUGCUAUAGACAGACCUUAGUUAAGUUACAGAUUCGGUAAUAUUGCGAAUAAAGGGAUCAAAGUUGCUUCUAUGUCAGCGUGUGUAUAUAAGAAUAUUUUGCGUAAUAAGAUAAAAAAAAACAAGGCUGUAUAGAUAUUAGAGCAUUUAUAGAUAGAGGGUCUUACAGCUGUUUCUAGAAUAUUUAUUAAUAAUAUACCUUCAUCGGAGACGGUGUGAGAGGAUAGUUAUAUAUAUCCGUGUGUGUGUGUGUGUGUGUGAUCGUGCGUGCGUGCGUGCGUGCAUGUAUGUUUAUAACUUACAUCGUGUAGGUGUAGUAUAUCCGAAAUUCGCUUCACAACCUCUAGGUUCCUAGUUUCGAUACCACCGCGAGGCAGGUUGUUUUCAUUUUCUCUAACCUCGAGUUAAUCACUAUCUUGUAAGUGAAAUUGGCCGGAUGGAAACGAUAUAGCAACCUAUCGGGUAAACUGUAUCUGUAAUUGAAAUGGUAUUAGGUGUUUUACAUACUGUGUCACAUUGAUUCUGAUUCUACUUAAGAAUUACGUUAAAGAUAAACGGGUCUGUAAAAUGUUCGACCACUUACACAUUAAUUCAGAAGUAAGUUUUUCAAUUGAAGGCGGCGAGCUGGCAGAAACGUUAGCACGCCGGGCGAAAUGCGUGGCCGUAUUUCGUCUGCCGCUACGUUCUGAGUUCAAAUUCCGCCGAGGUCGACUUUGCCUUUCAUCCUUUUGGGGUCGAUUAAAUAAGUACCAGUUACGCACUGGGGUCGAUAUAAUCGACUUAAUCCGUGUGUCUGUCCUUGUUUGUCCUCUUUAUGUUUAGCUCCUUGUGGGUAGUAAAGAAAUAGGCAUUUCGUCCGCCCUUACGUUCUGAGGUGGACUUUGCCUUUCCUCCUUUCGGGGUUGGUCGAUAAAUUAAGUACCAAUGAAACACUGGGGUCGAUGUAAUUGACUAGUCCCCUCACCCCAAUUUCAGGCUUUGUGCCUAUAGUAGUAAGGAUUAUUUCUGGCGUUUGUUUUUUUAAUUAUUUUUAUUUUAUGUAAGGCGGCGGAUUAGCAGAAUAGUUAGUGCGCCAGAUAAAAUGCUUAGUAUUUCGUUAAUUUGCCAAGAUAGACUUUGGCUUUCAUCUUUUCCAAGUCAAUAAAAUAAACACCAGUCAUUUACUGGAGUCGGUGUAAACGACUAGUCACUUCCCCGGAAUUUCUGGCAUUGUGCAAAAAUUCGAAAUCCUUAUUUAUAACUCUUUUAUGUAAGGCGGCAAGCUGGCAAGAUCGUUAGCAUGGUGGACAAAAAUGCUUAGCGACAUUUCGUCGGCGUUUACGUUUAAGUUCAUAUUCCACCGAGGAAUUUUUUCAGAGUCAAUAAAAUAAGUACCAGUUGAACUCUGAGGUCGAUAUAAUCUCCCAAAAUUUCAGGCAUUGUAAAGGAUUAUUUAUAGCUUUGUCUGUGAGUCGAGAUAUUCCAAAAAAGAAUUAGGAUCUUUUCGGUUUGAACGGCAGUUUUUAACAUAAUUUCUAGGUAACUAAAAAAUGUUUAACUUCGUAUACUGGUAGAAUGUGUUUAUAAAACAUCUUUUUCUCUUGGCUUUAUUGAGAAAAUUCUACAGUUUGUAAGAUACUUGUUUUUUUCUUCAAUUUCUGCAAUUUCAACCAAUCACUGACGUCUAUUGAGUUAAAAAACAUUCUGUGCCGUAUGAAUAUGUCCCUCGUUUAAGAAACAGAUUGGCUUUAUUUACAUUUGUGAAGAAGAAAAGAUACCCUUCCCCCACCCCUAACCCUAACCCUAACUAACCCUAACCCUAAAACAGAUACAAAUGCAAUAGAUCGAUACUAGGGUCAUAAUUAUGGGUGACAAUUUCAUAUGACACCGCUAGAAAAACAGCCGUUCAAACCGAAAAGAUCCAAGAAUUAUUUCGUCUUAUAUCUACCGAUAAAAUUCUAGAACGUAUUCUGAAAUUUUAUACUAUAAACUACCAAAAUAUUAUGCUGUAGAGUUUUGUAUUAAUUUUAAUAUUACGUGAACGACUGUAUGUGACUUGAAACUCUGCUUGAGGUGGAAUUAAAUAUUCAUAUUAGCCGUUUGACUCUCGUUUGUAUUACUAAUUAGCACUUCUGUUCAUUCAGAUGCAAAUACAGUAAUUCAUAUGUGCGUGUGUGUGUGUGUGUGAUGGUAAUGGUGGUGAAUCUCUGUCGUUCAAAGAUGAGAGUUGACUCGUAAUUUGCUGAGUAUUCCAUAGACAUGUGUAACCGUAACGUAAUUUUCGGGCAGAAUCAGCGUGAUACUGUGUAUGACAAGGUUGUACCUAGUGAAUUACAUGAACAAUCUACUUUGUCAGGCUUGUAUACAGUAUCUGCCUGCCCAAUCUCUCUCACUGGGUAUGGGUCAACCCGAGAAUGUAGUAUAUGGCAUUUCUUCCGCCGAGGUCGACUUUGCCUUUCAUCCUUUCGGGGUCAAUUAAAUAAGUACCAGUUACGCACUGGGGUCGAUAUAAUCGACUUAUUCUGUUUGUCUGUUCUUGUUUGUCCUCUCUGUGUUUGGCCCCUUGUGGGUAGUAAAGAAAUAGGUAGUAUAUGACAUUUGUUCAAAAUGCUAGGCAAUAAGAUCGAACCCUUGCCUCGUAGUUACUAAGCGAACUUCUUAACCAUUCGACCAUAUUGUACUUGACAUAUGUGUGUGAAUGCAUGUAUCUUUGAAUGUAUUAAGCAAGUAAGUGUGUGUGUGUGUGUGUGUGUGUGUAUGUGUGUGUGUGUGUGUCUGUCUGUCUGUCUGUCUGUCCUUCUGUCUGUCUGUGUGUGUGUGUGUGUGUGUGCGUGUGUGUGAUUGAGAGUGUGUAUGUGUAGCGCUUGAACAUGUUUCUGGAAGAUCUGAAAGAAAAGUGGUAUUAGUGAUUGCCUCUGUGUGUGUACGUGUGUAUGCAUGAUAAGAUUUCAGGCCUAUAUGUGACACAUCACACAGCUUGUCUUAUUCGGCGCUAACACUAAUCUUCUUCGGAAAAUUAGCUAAUUUAUUGCAAAGCCACGUACCCAACAAAUGCAUUAAAUUUUACGGAACUUUACGCAUAUGUUCCAAGCUUAAAUUACUAAACCCCCGUACGCACACACAAAUACACAUGCACACGAACACAUAUAUACACUCACAAAUAUAUAUAUACAUACACAAACCCAUCGACUGUGCCUGUUUAUAUGAAUGUUUGCGCUUUUGCGUCUGCGUGUAUAGGCAUGUAUAAUUGCAUGGUGAACAUAGUAACCAGUUAAUAUAUAUUCCGAAAUGUUAUUGUUAAAUAAAUAAUUCAAACGGGCUUUGGAGUCGCUAAGCCGUAUAGAUGAAGAUAAUAUAGUUUUAUAUUUCGGCUAUGAAACGACAGAAUUCCAUUAUUUCCAUAAUUGCCGUUGUUGUAGCUUAACUCCAUGCUAAUUAUAUUGUUGUUAUUUAACCUGAGGUUGACCUUUAUAGAACUAAUAUACCAUAAAAGCUGUCUGUUGAUUCCAAUAUCGCAGCGUUUCCGAUAUGAAAUCACAGACACACAUUCACUCAUAAACACACACACACACACACACACACAACGCGCGCACACACACACACACACCAAACGCAUAUAUAUAAUAUAUGCAUAUAUAUGGAUAUAUAUACAAAUAAUGUUUCUAUGUCAUUAUGCCGGUUACAGUCUAAUGAUUCUGACUGGUGAACCAGUUUUUUUGGAUUUGCACUGAGCUGUAACCGAUAUAAUGCAGGAUAAAUAUUCUAAUAAUGACAAUAAUCCUUGGAUGGAAUAUAUUUUGAUGCAUCGCUAUACGCGUUUCGACAGAUAACACAUCUCUUAAGAUCACAGUCCGUAUUCCUAAGAUGAUUACAGCGUAAUCCGUAGUAUCCGUGGGCAUCGAGUAGUUCAUCUUUAUAGAUUCAUUUCUUCAUGCGAUAUGGCAUUAACAGAUGUUUAGCUGUGCAUCAUUACACUGGAGCUGGCAAAAUAGAAUAGAAGUUUUAUUUGCCUAUUGAAAAUGUUUCCCGUAAACAAAUUUAAGAGAUAAGGGUAUACAUAUAUAUAUAUAUAUAUAUAUAUAUAUAUAUAUAUAUAUAUAUAUAUAUAUAUAUAUAUAUAUAUAUAUAUACAUAUAUAUAUAUAUUAAUAUACAUGCAAUAUGUAUAUAUUUAUAUAAAUGCAUAUGUAUAUAUAUUUAUAUACAUGCAUAUAUAUAUAUAUAUCCGACUUUGUAUGAUUGUGUACAGGAGAAUAUAGUAAUCAAUGAAACUCCAACUAGUCUGAUUUUGACGUUUUAUUAUUUACAAUUUUUACAAUUUUACAACAUUAUAUAUUUAUUGUGAUAAAGCUAGUACUUUCAUACGUUACGCAAUCAUCAGGUUUAUGUAGUAAUAGUUUUGACAGCCAUGUUCCACAAUUGACAGCUGUAGUGAAAUUAUUAAAUUUGUCCUAUAUACAUAUAUAUAUAUAUAUAUAUAUAUUCACACAUAUAUAUAUAUGUAUAUAUAUAUAUUCACAUAUAUAUAUAUAUAUGUAUAUAUAUAUAUAUAUAUCUUUUUUCUUCUUCCUCUCUUGUCUUCAAAACAAAGAAUAUAAUUGAAAAGAAACCUCUCUCUCUCUCCAUCUAUCUAUCUAUCUAUUUAUCUAUCUUUUCCCCCCUCUUUGUUUUUCUUUUGUGAUUGUCCUGCUCCUUAUCUUUUUCUCUUUCUCCCUUUUUCCAAAGCUAAAAAAAAACAUCCGAUUCACAUAAAAUACUAUGAGACGUUCUGUUUUUAACGUUUUGGUUUUAAUUUUCUUCUUGAAGAGUUCGAUUAACCGAACGAAAGCGCUAAUAAAGAAUUAUCCAAAAUUCUGACUGCCUCCUUUUUCUCAAUAUACAAUACCGGUACACGACUUCAAACACUAUGUGUGUAUGGUGCUUGUGUUUGUGUGUGUGUGUAAGUGUGUGUGUGUGUGUGUGUGUGUGUGUGUGUGUGUGUGUGUGUGUGUGUGUGUGAGUAACAGGGAUACUGAAACGAUCCUGGCUUUAAGGGUAUCGCGAAUGGCCUAAUUGGUGACCCAAUCUUCCUUGUUCUUUUACACGGCUUUAAAAAAAUGAAGGACUGCAAUAAGUUUGUGAACAUGAAUAUGCUGGAUAAAAUCAUAAUUAGCUGAUCCUCCUAAAUUUUCUUUUACCCCAAGCCAGAAACUUUUCAGCACCCCUCGUAUAUACGUGUCAAAACUCAUGCGCAUCCUUGCUUUUGCAAUUUAUUAAAGCAAAAGUAGGGCUUGAACAAUUACAUCAUAUUUCCACAUAAUCUCCUAAUUUUUCGAUGCACUUCCUCCAGCGGUCCACAAGCUUACUUAUUCCCUCGGCGCAGAGUUUUCGGCUGCUCGUGAAGCAGCCUUUUGGUGUGAAUUGCUGGUUCCAGUUUGUUGGCCAGCAUUUAACUGUAGCUUACACUGGGGACUGUAGACCCCUUUUCAAGGUAAUGUUCCUUUUUGCGUCCCACGAAACUGUUACCAUCCAUUGUUCUGCAGAAGUUUGACUCUUCAAUAGCUUUUUCACUGGCGAUUCCUUAUGUUUGCAAUCCCUACUUCUUUUGGAUUCUUGUUCUUGUUUUCGUUCUUGUAUAUAUUCGUUUGCUUUUCCAAGAAGCUUAAUGCUCUGGCGCUUGCGUGUGUAUAUGUGUGUAUGUAUAUAUAUAUAUAUAUAUAUAUAUAUAUAUAUAUAAAUAUAUAUAUAUAGUUAUAUAAAUAUAUAUAUAUAUAUAUAUAUAUAUAUAUAUAUACUUAUGUAUACGUAUAUACGUAUAGAUAUAUAUGCAUAGUUUUAUAUAUAUAGAGAGAGAGAUAUACAUACUUCCAUACAUACAUACAUAUAUAUAUACAAGUAUGUACAUAGAUACAUACAUACAUGUAUAUGUAUAUGUUAAAUACAUAUAUGUGCAUCGAUUGAUGCAAACAUAUGUGUGUGUGUGUAUACAUAUAUAUAUACACAUAUAUGUAUGUAUGCAUGCAUGUAUGUAUAUAUGUGUGUAUGUGUGUAUGUAUGUACGUACGUAUGUUGGUAUGCAUGUAUGUAUGUAUGUAUGUAUACAUGUACGUCUUUAUGUAAAUAUGUAUAUGCAUAUAUUAUUGCUGGUAGGCUUUUCUACUACGUAUCAGCUGCCGGGAAUGUGUUUAAUAUGUAAUGUGUUACAUUACUAAACUUAAUGACUAUUUAAGCAAUGUAUUUGUUCAUAGUCAAUGGGUUGGAUGUGGCGCUAAAGAAGGAGCAAGAACUCCUCAAUUGUGCAUAUACACCUAUUACUUACUGUUCUUUCUUCCGCAUUAUUUACAUAGACAUAUUCGUAUACGAAACGUACUAGCUUUCAGCGUUGGCUCUAAAUUCUAUAGAAAAUCUGUACAUAUAAACUUUAAAAAAUGCAUGUAUUUGUAUGUAUAUUGUCAUAAAUCUAAAAAAGUUGUUUAUACAUUUUCAAAAACAAAAUUAAUAAUUAUUUCAACUUUAUUUAAUGGGAUCAUAUAAAGGCAGAAAUUUAUUGAAGUAAACCUCGUUCAACAGACGAUUUGUGAGUCAGCAUAGUUAUUCUGAUUCAGGGUAUAGGCAAAGAGCAAUUGCAAAUGGUAUUUCUAUGUCUUCAAAAUCACAUCAUGCUUUGUGUACAUAAUGAUAGUAAAUUGUUGGAAAUGGUCAAUCUCAAUAAAGAGCCUGCUGCAAUGUGUAAAUAAUUUUCCUUAUCUUUUUCUCUUCAUAAACGGAUUCUACCGUGUAUAGAACUAAAGAAUUUUAACCAUUUGCCUGUCCACAGCAUUUUCAUAAGUUUGUCCUUUUAGUUAACCCAUGUUUCACACGUUCUGGGUAAUUAUAAAGCUUUCUCUUCAUAAGUCCUAAAUUACUCUGGUGCUUGAAAAAAUUGGCAAUCUGUAUCAUAUGCAUAUAUGAUGCAUGGAUAUCAGGGAAUUAUCUCCUAUGCAUCACAUGUGAUAUACAGAACAGGCAGAGGGUUAAUGUGGAUCUCUGUCGUACGACGAUGCAGAGUUAAAUAGUCAAUCAAAAUAUCAAAAUAUUCAAUCGGCCAAACAUUUUCAUGAAUUAACAUUUAAGUGGCUGAACAUGCCAUGGAUAUCUGUGCCAUUAACGUAAAUCUCGAGUACGUGACAAGGCUGUACCAUUAGAAUUACUGGUACAAUCCAACCGUCUACCCUAUUUCCCUCACAAGAUAUGGGUCGAAAAAAAAUAAAUGGCAUUAUGGUACGCAAUGGGAUCGAUCCAGAUAUAUCGUGGUUGGGAAAGGAACUUUAUAACGACGCAGUGUAAACAUAAAACGUGUUUUUACGGUUUCCUUGAACAGCAAUCGCUUACCUGCAAAGGUCAUGAACCCUUACUUGUCUCAAAAAUUCCUGUAUAAAAAAUAAAAGUUUAUCUGCAAUUUUUGAUGUUGUUAUUGUUGUCGAUGUUUCUGUAAUUUUCUUAUUUACUAUUUUCAGACAGUGAAUAUAUAUCCAAAUCCAGAAUGAGUCUAACAAUUCUCACAGUACUGCUGGCAUUAGAAGCUUGCAUGAUGUCGACGGCGGAAGCGAUUAGACCAGCUUCCAGUGACAUCAGCCCUGUAGAUGCUUGUCUUUAUUACUGCAGUGAAUGUUACAAGGAUGAUGUAAGAAAUUUCAACAUCUAUUAAUAUAAUUGACAGUAUGUUUCCAUCUGUUUGUCCGUCCCCACAAAAAAAUUUAUCUUUUAAGUUUUAGGAUUUAUCUCCCUUGGUUAUUAUAUGUAAACUGGAGAGUUAAUUGUCAAAGUUAAUGUUGGGUAUAUACUUUCGCUACUGUUAGUAAUAUCGAACAAUGUUACAUAUGUAAUUAACUGUUAAACAGUAUCAUUGUUAUCAAUAACCUAUAUUUGGAGCAAAAAUACAAAUCAAGAAUUUGUUUAAAUUUUAUUUUAGUUUAAUAGAUAGGUUUAAUUUGGAAAUUAGUAGUCACCUCAGUAUUUUGUGUAAAAACCAUGAAAUUUGAAAAAAGUAAAAUUAUAACUGUUACAUUUAUAUCUAAAAUUAACUGUGAGUUCAAAUGUCAUCGAAAUUGCAAAUACCAGUUGUUGUUAUGUAGCGCAAGGUUGGUCCUAAUCAAGCAAUCCAAUGAUCAGAAGCGUUCCAACCAUGACUAUUCUAUCUAAUUUUUAGAAUGUGUAGACAGUGUAUUUAAGACUACAUUAUCUUAUGUACCCUUCCUUUUCUAAGAGGACUGAUGGAGUCUGAGAGACAUUCGGCUACAACUUCUAACAGGGAUACCGAUUGUAGGGAGACCCUGUCAUUGAAGUAACAGCAUCUGAUAUAAACCGAUUAUACCUCUCUCCUCUCUAUCUCUCUUUCUCCCUUUCUCUCUCUCUCUCUCUCCCUCUCUCUCUCUCUCUGUAUAUAUAUAUAUAUAUAUAUAUAUAAUAUGUAGGGAGAGUUUACGAAAAAAACAAAAGACGAAGACAAGUAGUGUACAAAACAAACAGAUAUAUUAGUAUAACGCUCAGGAAUAGAAAAAGUCUUUUACGUUUCGAGCCUACGCUCUUCUACAGAAAGAGACACAGAAAAAACAAAGAGAGAAAAAAAUGUGUGUAGUGGCUAACGAUCUAUCAUGGCGACUAUAUGUAUAUAUAUAUAUAUAUAUAUAUAUAUAUAUAUAUAUAUAUAUAUAUAUAGAUAGAUAGAUAGAUAGAUAGAUAGAUAGAUAGAUAGAUAGAUAGAUAGAUAGAUAGAUAGAUAGAUAGAUAGAUAGAUAGAUAGAUAGAUAGAUAGAUAGAUAGAUAUGUCUUUGUCUCUCUCCUCUAAAGAUUUUAGGCUGUGUACUUGAGACAAAAAUCAAUAUAUUCCAUACUGGACAAUUAAACAAGUAUCGAGAUUAACAUUAGGACGAUUGAGAAAAAAAUAAUUGCAUAAGAAAUUAAUUAAUAUAGAAUAGAGAUAUGGAAGCUGAAUAUAAAGAGAAAAUAUUACAGUGAUUUUAAAACGAGUGUAAUUUGGAUAUUAAGAUGGAAAUAUAUCAUUAGAUAUUAGUCGCAGAUAUAGCUGUGUGGUUAAGAAGUUCGCAUCGAAACCACGAAAUUACGGAUUCAGUUUCAUUGCGUAGCACUUUGGGCCAGUGCCUUCUGAUAUAGCACCAACCGGACUAAUUAAUGCCUUCUAAGUGAAUUUAGUGAGUGGAAAGUGUGUAGAAUUCAUUUGUGUGUGUGUGUGUGUGUGUGUGUGCGCGUGCGUGUGUGUGUGUGUGCGUGUGGAUAGAUAGAUAUACAUUUAAAUAUACACAUACUCACACACACACAUACACACACAUACACACAUACAUAUAUAUAUAUGUAUGUUUGAAUAUAUAUAUUUGUAUAUAUAUAUAUUAUAUAUAUAUAUAUAUAUAUAUAUAUAUAUAUAUAUAUAUAUAUAUAUAUAUAUAUAUAUAUAUUAUUAGAGAGUUACCACUGUGUGGAUAGCUCUAGUGAUAUAUAUAUAUAUAUAUAUAUAUAUAUUCUAUAUUUCUGAUGAAGAGCUCUGCUCGAAACGUGAAAUCCUCUUUCUUUUCUUUCCUGAGCGUCCAAUAACACUGUACUUAUUCCACGUCCUCGUGUUGUGGUUUUUCUUGCUUGUUCAUGUUUGGACUGUCUAUAUGUGUGUGUGUGUGUGUGUGAGUAUGCAUACAUAUUUUUACGUAUGUUGGAUUCUAUCAGUAUAAGAGGUAUCGCGGAGCUUAUUCAUUCCUGGAGUAUUCAAAAUGUGGGACAAUAAUAACCAAUAAUAAUUGUAGCAUUGGGCAUGAUAAAAAAAUCAUAUGAACGAAAAUG
rnacentral:lncRNA from 1 species